CCUACGGGAGGCAGCAGUGAGGAAUAUUGGUCAAUGGACGAGAGUCUGAACCAGCCAAGUAGCGUGAAGGAUGACUGCCCUAUGGGUUGUAAACUUCUUUUAUAAAGGAAUAAAACGAGGCACGUGUGCCUUAUUGCAUGUACUUUAUGAAUAAGGAUCGGCUAACUCCGUGCCAGCAGCCGCGGUAAUACGGAGGAUCCGAGCGUUAUCCGGAUUCAUUGGGUUUAAAGGGAGCGUAGAUGGUUUGUUAAGUCAGUUGUGAAAGUUUGCGGCUCAACCGUAAAAUUGCAAUUGAUACUGGCAGUCUUGAGUACAGUUGGGGUAGGCGGAAUUCGUGGUGUAGCAGUGAAAUGCUUAGAUAUCGCGAAGAACCCCGAUUGCGAAGGCAGGUUACUAGACUGUGACUGACAUUGAUGCUCGAAAGUGUGGGUAGCAAACGGGAUUAGAUACCCGAGUAGUC
rnacentral:rRNA from 1 species